rnacentral:rRNA from 1 species
UGCAGUCGAGCGAGAUCUUCGGAUCUAGCGGCGGACGGGUUAGUAACGCGUGGGAACGUACCCAAAGGUAGGGAAUAGCCACUGGAAACGGUGAGUAAUACCCUAUGUGCCCUUCGGGGGAAAGAUUUAUCGCCUUUGGAUCGGCCCGCGUUAGAUUAGAUAGUUGGUGGGGUAACGGCCUACCAAGUCUACGAUCUAUAGCUGGUUUUAGAGGAUGAUCAGCAACACUGGGACUGAGACACGGCCCAGACUCCUACGGGAGGCAGCAGUGGGGAAUCUUGGACAAUGGGGGCAACCCUGAUCCAGCCAUGCCGCGUGAGUGAUGAAGGCCUUAGGGUCGUAAAGCUCUUUCGCCUGUGAAGAUAAUGACUGUAGCAGGUAAAGAAACCCCGGCUAACUCCGUGCCAGCAGCCGCGGUAAUACGGGGGGGGUUAGCGUUGUUCGGAAUUACUGGGCGUAAAGCGCGCGUAGGCGGACUGGAAAGUUGGGGGUGAAAUCCCAGGGCUCAACCCUGGAACUGCCUCCAAAACUAUCAGUCUAGAGUUCGAGAGAGGUGAGUGGAAUUCCGAGUGUAGAGGUGAAAUUCGUAGAUAUUCGGAGGAACACCAGUGGCGAAGGCGGCUC